rnacentral:rRNA from 1 species
GAUGAACGCUGGCGGCGUGCUUAACACAUGCAAGUCGAACGAAGCAUUUAAGACAGAUUACUUCGGUUUGAAGUCUUUUAUGACUGAGUGGCGGACGGGUGAGUAACUCGUGGGUAACCUGCCUCAUACAGGGGGAUAGCAGCUGGAAACGGCUGGUAAUACCGCAUAAGCGCACAGUACCACAUGGUACAGUGUGAAAAACUCCGGUGGUAUGAGAUGGACCCGCGUCUGAUUAGCUAGUCGGCGGGGUAACGGCCCACCAAGGCGACGAUGCGUAGCCGACCUGGGGGGCUGCCCGGCCACAUUGGGACUGAGACACGGCCCAGACUCCUACGGGAGACAGCAGUGGGGAAUAUUGCACAAUGGAGGAAACUCUGAUGCAGCGACGCCGCGUGAGUGAAGAAGUAGUUCGCUAUGUAAAGCUCUAUCAGCAGGGAAGAUAGUGACGGUACCUGACUAAGAAGCUCCGGCUAAAUACGUG